rnacentral:rRNA from 1 species
GAUGAACGCUGGCGGCGUGCCUAAUACAUGCAAGUCGAGCGAACGGACGAGAAGCUUGCUUCUCUGAUGUUAGCGGCGGACGGGUGAGUAACACGUGGAUAACCUACCUAUAAGACUGGGAUAACUUCGGGAAACCGGAGCUAAUACCGGAUGAUAUUUUGAACCGCAUGGUUCAAAAGUGAAAGACGGUCUUGCUGUCACUUAUAGAUGGAUCCGCGCUGCAUUAGCUAGUUGGUAAGGUAACGGCUUACCAAGGCAACGAUGCAUAGCCGACCUGAGAGGGUGAUCCGCCACACUGGAAAUGAGACACGGUCCAGACCCCUAAGGGAGGCAGCAGUAGGGAAUCCUCCGGAAUGGGCGAAAGGCUGACGGAGCAACGCCGCGUGAGGGAUGAAGGUCUUCGGAUCGGAAAACUCUGUUAUUAGGGAAGAACAUAUGUGUAAGUAACUGUGCACAUCUUGACGGUACCUAAUCAGAAAGCCACGGCUAACUACGUG